UACGUAGGUGGCAAGCGUUGUCCGGAAUCAUUGGGCGUAAAGCGCGUGUAGGCGGCCCGGUAAGUCCGCUGUGAAAGUCGGGGGCUCAACCCUCGAAUGCCGGUGGAUACUGUCGGGCUAGAGUGCGGGAGAGGCGAGUGGAAUUCCUGGUGUAGCGGUGAAAUGCGCAGAUAUCAGGAGGAACACCAAUUGCGAAGGCAGCUCGCUGGAACGUAACUGACGCUGAGACGCGAAAGCGUGGGGAGCAAACAGG
rnacentral:rRNA from 1 species